AAUAUUGGACAAUGGGGGCAACCCUGACCCAGCCAUGCCGCGCGGGUGAAGAAGGUCUUCGGAGUGUACAGCACUUUCAGUUGGGUGGAAGGGCUCUAGGUUAAUACCCUGAAGUUUUGACGUUCCCAACAGACGAAGCACCGGCUAACUCUGUGCCAGCAGCCGCGGUAAUACAGAGGGUGCAAGCGUUAAUCGGACGUACGGGGCGUAAAGCGGGCGUAGGUGGUUCAGUAAGAUGGGUGUGAAAUCCCCGGGCUUAACCUGGGAACUGCUUUCAUAACUGCUGAGCUAGAGUACGGUAGAGGGUAGUGGAAUUUCCUGUGUAGCGGUGAAAUGCGUAGAUAUAGGAAGGAACACCAGUGGCGAAGGCGACUACCUGGACUGAUACUGACACUGAGGUGCGAAAGCGUGGGGAGCAAACA
rnacentral:rRNA from 1 species